rnacentral:rRNA from 1 species
AUACGGAGGGGGCUAGCGUUGCUCGGAAUUACUGGGCGUAAAGCGCGCGUAGGCGGUGAACCAAGUUAGGCGUGAAAGGCCUGGGCUCAACCCAGGAACUGCGUUUGAUACUGGUUUACUAGAGUCCGGGAGAGGGUAGUGGAAUUUCCAGUGUAGAGGUGAAAUUCGUAGAUAUUGGAAAGAACACCAGUGGCGAAGGCGACUGCCUGGCCCGGUACUGACGCUGAGGUGCGAAAGCGUGGGGAGCAAACAGGAUUAGAAACCCGGGUAGUCC